rnacentral:snRNA from 1 species
UUGCUUCGGCAGUAGAUAUACUAAAAUUGGAACGAUACAGAGAAGAUUAGCAUGGCCCCUGCGCAAGGAUGACACGCAAAAUCGUGAAGCGUUCCACAUUUUU